ensembl:lncRNA
UUGGUUAUAAACUUUACCAAUCUGUAAAUGCUGCAACAUUAAAACAGGUCAUCUUCAAAUGUACAUGUCCAGGAAAUUAACAACUUUUUUUUUUUUUUUUUUUUUUUUUUUUUUUUUUUUUUUUUUUUUUUUUUUUUUUUUUUUUUUUUUUUUUUUUUUUUUUUUUUUUUUUUUUUUUUUUUUUUUUUUUUUUUUUUUUUUUUUUUUUUUUUUUUUUUUUUUUUUUUUUUUUUUUUUUUUUUUUUUUUUUUUUUUUUUUUUUUUUUUUUUUUUUUUUUUUUUUUUUUUUUUUUUUUUUUUUUUUUUUUUUUUUUUUUUUUUUUUUUUUUUUUUUUUUUUUUUUUUUUUUUUUUUUUUUUUUUUUUUUUUUUUUUUUUUUUUUUUUUUUUUUUUUUUUUUUUUUUUUUUUUUUUUUUUUUUUUUUUUUUUUUUUUUUUUUUUUUUUUUUUUUUUUUUUUUUUUUUUUUUUUUUUUUUUUUUUUUUUUUUUUUUUUUUUUUUUUUUUUUUUUUUUUUUUUUUUUUUUUUUUUUUUUUUUUUUUUUUUUUUUUUUUUUUUUUUUUUUUUUUUUUUUUUUUUUUUUUUUUUUUUUUUUUUUUUUUUUUUUUUUUUUUUUUUUUUUUUUUUUUUUUUUUUUUUUUUUUUUUUUUUUUUUUUUUUUUUUUUUUUUUUUUUUUUUUUUUUUUUUUUUUUUUUUUUUUUUUUUUUUUUUUUUUUUUUUUUUUUUUUUUUUUUUUUUUUUUUUUUUUUUUUUUUUUUUUUUUUUUUUUUUUUUUUUUUUUUUUUUUUUUUUUUUUUUUUUUUUUUUUUUUUUUUUUUUUUUUUUUUUUUUUUUUUUUUUUUUUUUUUUUUUUUUUUUUUUUUUUUUUUUUUUUUUUUUUUUUUUUUUUUUUUUUUUUUUUUUUUUUUUUUUUUUUUUUUUUUUUUUUUUUUUUUUUUUUUUUUUUUUUUUUUUUUUUUUUUUUUUUUUUUUUUUUUUUUUUUUUUUUUUUUUUUUUUUUUUUUUUUUUUUUUUUUUUUUUUUUUUUUUUUUUUUUUUUUUUUUUUUUUUUUUUUUUUUUUUUUUUUUUUUUUUUUUUUUUUUUUUUUUUUUUUUUUUUUUUUUUUUUUUUUUUUUUUUUUUUUUUUUUUUUUUUUUUUUUUUUUUUUUUUUUUUUUUUUUUUUUUUUUUUUUUUUUUUUUUUUUUUUUUUUUUUUUUUUUUUUUUUUUUUUUUUUUUUUUUUUUUUUUUUUUUUUUUUUUUUUUUUUUUUUUUUUUUUUUUUUUUUUUUUUUUUUUUUUUUUUUUUUUUUUUUUUUUUUUUUUUUUUUUUUUUUUUUUUUUUUUUUUUUUUUUUUUUUUUUUUUUUUUUUUUUUUUUUUUUUUUUUUUUUUUUUUUUUUUUUUUUUUUUUUUUUUUUUUUUUUUUUUUUUUUUUUUUUUUUUUUUUUUUUUUUUUUUUUUUUUUUUUUUUUUUUUUUUUUUUUUUUUUUUUUUUUUUUUUUUUUUUUUUUUUUUUUUUUUUUUUUUUUUUUUUUUUUUUUUUUUUUUUUUUUUUUUUUUUUUUUUUUUUUUUUUUUUUUUUUUUUUUUUUUUUUUUUUUUUUUUUUUUUUUUUUUUUUUUUUGGAAUGAAUAUUCACCUCAAAACUAUAAAAAAUAACAUAGCCGAGGAGUUAACAAUGUUUUUUAUUUAAAUGUUUACUACUCUCAAUUAUCAACACAAA